rnacentral:ncRNA from 1 species
AGCAUGUUUGAGCACUACUGACCGGAAAGGAAGUCCUUUGAGAUGAGCUGUCCGGACAUAUUGUGAGGUCAUUACUUCGCUCAUUGACGCACGCGUCAUGCGCGCGAUGUAACCCAUGCCGUAAAUUGACAUAGUCAUCACCGGCAGGGUAAAAUUUUCAAAAGU